CAAGAGCCUCUUUUCACAGUUUAAGUCAGAGCUCAGAUUGACGACAGCGUGUUUGAGUCUGCAUCAUGACCUCAGACCUGACGGCAGAGCUGGAGCUGGAGCUGGGGGACUUGUUGCAGGAGUUCCAGGAGGUGGUGGAGGUUCUUAAAGCUCCGUCUCAGACCAGAGCUCAGUCCUAUCACCACGUCCUGCAGGAAGCAAAGGGCAGGGCAGGGCAGUGUGAUGACAGUGGAGUGGAAGACUUCGACAGUAGUAAGCAGCAUUUACACUAUUAACACACAUAUACUGUACAUUUACACAGAGGCCCCCGGUGCCCGGGCCCCGCUGAACAAACAGCAGCUUUAGCUUCAUUAAACAGGCCAGACCCCUGGACGCUCGUAAAGGUGUUUGUCCAUCAACUAAAAUGUUUUCCCAGAAUACUGUGCUGUAAUUAUGGAUUAUGAUAUUUUUGUAGCUCCGUUUGAUAAAUGCCUUUGUGAGGUGAAGUUUUCCUGCUCCCAUGUGAGGUUAUUACAGAGCGUUUUGGCACCUAAUGGUGCAGACGGAGCUGCGUGCGGAAGCGGACACUUGGGACACACUAACACUGAACCAUCGUUUAGCUUAGCGUUAGUCUGGAUGUUCUAAUUACACAGACGCCUCCUUUGUUUCAGUUUGUGGAUCAUUUACAUCAAGUGUCCUUGGUGGGUGUAGUGUGCUCAUUGUUGCAUCUUCCUCAGGCAGCGAGGCGUCUUUUGGAAACAGUCUGAACAGCAGUGAGGAGGAGCUGAACACAGCAGGUCUAAUGCAGACAGCCAAAGGUACGAGAGCUCUUAUCUCCAUCUCCAUCCUCCGCCUCUACAGCGAUCAGUAUCAGGCUCUGAUCUGGAUCACAGCUCACACCUCUUUACAUCGGAGCCUAAAGCUCUUUUGUUUUUGCACAACAAAACCCUGGCCCUGUCAGAGGAGCCUCGUCUUUCUCCUUUGUGCCGCACGGCUCAUGUGAAUGUAAAAGAUGCAGAAAGGACAAACCUGCCUGACAAAAUGAAAUCAGUGCAUUUGUUUAUCUUUGUCUUGCAUAAUGUUUUUUAUGGUAUUGGUUUGGUAUUUCAACGCAGCUCCAUAAAAAUGUUAAAUCUGAGUCUUUUCCACAGUUUCUCAUAUUUUUCUUCUUUUUCUUUUCAGCCAAGAUGGGAGACACGAGGGAGCUGGAGAGUUUUAUCGACAUGUUGGAUCGAGAACUUGCUGAAAUGUAAAAAGGACUAAGACGAGCCGACCGGACCAGGGGAGACGUGAGCUGCAGAGCCGUGCGUCCAACCACAAGAGCAACACUUUUACUCUCUGCAGUGAUGUUGACCUCAUUUACAAAAUAAAAACAGGACAUCAUAUUUUAAAGAAACUGCAGGCGGCGGGUCACUGCCGUCUGGUCUCACAAAAACAGAGGAAAAAUGAGAAAUAUUUCAAUUUUAUUUCAAAAGACUUUUAAUUUUCAUUUGGACAUUUUCUGCCCCGUGGGCUCAGGUUCACUGUAUCAUAUGUUUUUAUUAUAGUUCCUCUAUUUUAUAAAUAUAAAUAUGUGAAUAAAUGUGAAGUUGUACAGUUCUUGUUCUUUUACAAAUAAAAUUAUUUUUGAUGGAAG
ensembl:lncRNA